UUGAACGCUGGCGGCAGGCUUAACACAUGCAAGUCGAGCGGGGGAAGGUAGCUUGCUACCGGACCUAGCGGCGGACGGGUGAGUAAUGCUUAGGAAUCUGCCUAUUAGUGGGGGACAACAUCUCGAAAGGGAUGCUAAUACCGCAUACGUCCUACGGGAGAAAGCAGGGGAUCUUCGGACCUUGCGCUAAUAGAUGAGCCUAAGUCGGAUUAGCUAGUUGGUGGGGUAAAGGCCUACCAAGGCGACGAUCUGUAGCGGGUCUGAGAGGAUGAUCCGCCACACUGGGACUGAGACACGGCCCAGACUCCUACGGGAGGCAGCAGUGGGGAAUAUUGGACAAUGGGGGGAACCCUGAUCCAGCCAUGCCGCGUGUGUGAAGAAGGCCUUAUGGUUGUAAAGCACUUUAAGCGAGGAGGAGGCUACUUUAGUUAAUACCUAGAGAUAGUGGACGUUACUCGCAGAAUAAGCACCGGCUAACUCUGUGCCAGCAGCCGCGGUAA
rnacentral:rRNA from 1 species